rnacentral:rRNA from 1 species
CACGUAGGGUGCGAGCGUUGUCCGGAAUUAUUGGGCGUAAAGAGCUCGUAGGCGGUGUGUCGCGUCGGCCGUGAAAACCUGCAGCUUAACUGUGGGCUUGCGGUCGAUACGGGCAUCACUGGAGUUCGGCAGGGGAGACUGGAAUUCCUGGUGUAGCGGUGAAAUGCGCAGAUAUCAGGAGGAACACCGGUGGCGAAGGCGGGGUCUCUGGGCCCGAU